AGAGUUUGAUCCUGGCUCAGGAUGAACGCUGGCGGCGUGCCUAACACAUGCAAGUCGAACGGAGCCUUAACCAAAGAAGCAGCCAGCUUGCUGGAAGCGGAAAAGGGAAAGGCUUAGUGGCGGACGGGUGAGUAACGCGUGGGUAACCUGGCCCAUACAGGGGGAUAACACUUAGAAAUAGGUGCUAAUACCGCAUAACAACAGAAAGCGCAUGCUUUUUGUUUGAAAACCAAGGUGGUAUGGGAUGGACCCGCGUCUGAUUAGCUGGUUGGCGGGGUAAAGGCCCACCAAGGCGACGAUCAGUAGCCGGCCUGAGAGGGUGGACGGCCACAUUGGGACUGAGACACGGCCCAAACUCCUACGGGAGGCAGCAGUAGGGAAUCUUCCACAAUGGACGAAAGUCUGAUGGAGCAACGCCGCGUGAGUGAAGAAGGGUUUCGGCUCGUAAAGCUCUGUUGGUAGUGAAGAAAGAUAGAGGUAGUAACUGGCCUUUAUUUGACGGUAAUUACUUAGAAAGUCACGGCUAACUACGUGCCAGCAGCCGCGGUAAUACGUAGGUGGCAAGCGUUGUCCGGAUUUAUUGGGCGUAAAGCGAGUGCAGGCGGUUCAAUAAGUUUGAUGUGAAACCCCGGGGCUCAACCCCGGGCAUGCAUUGGAAACUGGCGGGCAGGAGUGCCGGAGAGGUAAGCGGAAUUCCUAGUGUAGCGGUGAAAUGCGUAGAUAUUAGGAGGAACACCAGUGGCGAAGGCGGCUUACUGGACUGUAACUGACGUUGAGGCUUGAAAGCGUGGGGAGCAAACAGGAUUAGAUACCCUGGUAGUCCACGCCGUAAACGAUGACUGCUAGGUGUCGGGGGACGACAGUGCCCCGGUGCCGCCGCAAACGCAGUAAGCAUUCCACCUGGGGAGUACGUUCGCAAGAAUGAAACUCAAAGGAAUUGACGGGGACCCGCACAAGCGGUGGAGCAUGUGGUUUAAUUCGAAGCAACGCGAAGAACCUUACCAAGUCUUGACAUCCCAAUGAAUGACAGGUAAAGCUGUCAGCCCUUCGGGGCAUUGGAGACAGGUGGUGCAUGGUUGUCGUCAGCUCGUGUCGUGAGAUGUUGGGUUAAGUCCCGCAACGAGCGCAACCCUUAUUGUCAGUAGCCAGCGGGUAGAGCUGGGCACUCUGAUGAGACUGCCAGGGAGAACCUGGAGGAAGGUGGGGAUGACGUCAAAUCAGCACGGCCCUUACGUCCGGGGCGACACACGUGUUACAAUGGGCGGUACAGCGGGAAGCCAGGCGGCGACGCCGAGCGGAACCCGAAAGCCGUUCUCAGUUCGGAUCGGAGUCUGCAACCCGACUCCGUGAAGCUGGAUUCGCUAGUAAUCGCGCAUCAGCCAUGGCGCGGUGAAUACGUUCCCGGGCCUUGCACUCACCGCCCGUCA
rnacentral:rRNA from 1 species